rnacentral:rRNA from 1 species
AACCCUUGUCCUUAGGUUACCAGCACGUUAUGGUGGGCACUCUAAGGAGACUGCCGGUGACAAACCGGAGGAAGGUGGGGAUGACGUCAAGUCAUCAUGGCCCUUACGGCCUGGGCUACACACGUGCUACAAUGGUCGGUACAAAGGGUUGCCAAGCCGCGAGGUGGAGCUAACCCAUAAAACCGAUCGUAGUCCGGAUCGCAGUCUGCAACUCGACUGCGUGAAGUCGGAAUCGCUAGUAAUCGUGAAUCAGAAUGUCACGGUGAAUACGUUCCCGGCCUU